CCUGCUCAGGCAUCACACCCCUUCUAUUAUCCUUUCUCUCUCUAACAUCAAUCCCUGCCUCUUUUACUACCAGACCAUGGCUCUAACACCCAAACAUGCUCUAGUAUCUCCCAUCCAGCUUCUGUGAGACCACAUCCCCUGACUUCCCUUCUACCUCGCUGGCUCUUUCUGGAUGUCUCAUAGAUACCUCAAAUCCAACAAAUCAGAACUUUAAAUUUUAUAACUAUCCUUCUCCCCUAUCCCACCCCUUUAGGCUGCCCUACUUGGUUAAACAUCACCAUAUUCCACACAGCUGCUCAAGACAGAAACCACCUAUUUCCUUCCUUCCCCCUCUUCUCACAUCAAAUCCACCAACAAGUCCUGUUAAUUCUGUCUUCAAAAUAUAUCUCAAAUCCAUCCACUUUUCAUCUUCACUGCCACCACCUUAAUCUAGGUCAUAAUCAACUAUUGCCUAAUCAAAGAAACGGCCUUCUGACCAAUCGGUUCUCCAAACAACAGCUAAGCUAUCUUAAAAGUUAAAAGUGAAUUAUGCUACUCCUUUAAUCAAAACCUUCUGAUGGCUUCUCAGUAUCCUUAAAAUAAAAUUUACAUUCCUUACUUUGACUCAGCAGGAUUUGAUUCCAGGCUAUCUCUCCCUAUCAUCCAUUUGUUUCAGUAACACUCUCUUCCCUCAACUUCUAGAACAGCUAUCAAUGUGCAGUAUGAUACUCUCUCAUGAUGCUGAGCAGCAACAGCAAGCCACAACUUCCCAGUCAGCCAGGCAAUUGGGAGGGGGGUCCAGUCACUUUGUCAUGAGAACACUCAAGUGACCCUCUGGAGAAGUCUACAUGGUGAGUAAUCAAGACCUGUUACCAACAGCCAGCAAGGAACUGACACGUCCAGCCAACAGCUUUGUGAGUGAGCCGUCAGGUGACAGCAGCCCAGCCCACAGCUUGACUCCAACCUCACAAGAGAACCUGAAUCAGAGCCACCCAGCUAAGCCACUCCCAGAUUCCUGACCUACAAAAACUGUUUAAUAAUCUAUGUGUGUUGUU